rnacentral:rRNA from 1 species
AAAUGGCCGAAAAUCUAAGGUUUCUUGGGGAAGGUUCGUCCGCCCAAGGUAAGCCGGGAGCUAAGGCGAGGCCGAAAGGCGUAGUCGAUGCACAUACGGUUGAAAUUCCGUAGCCGCCGAAAUUGUUAAGCACAGGGACACAUAGAGAUAUCCGAACCCGGGCGUUGGUUGACCCGGGCGCAAGGGACCGAACAUCAGUAGGGAAGUCGGAGAUGCUCUGUGGCGAGAAAAGCUGUGUGUAUUGAUUAGGCGCCCGUACCGCAAACCGACACAGGUAGAUGAGGAGAGAAUCCUAAGGCCAACGGGAGAAGGGUUGUUAAGGAACUCGGCAAAUUGACCCCGUAACUUCGGGAUAAGGGGAGCCUCCUACGGGAGGCCGCAGUGAAUAGGCCCAAGCAACUGUUUACCAAAAACACAGGUCUCUGCUAAAUCGAAAGAUGACGUAUAGGGGCUGACGCCUGCCCGGUGCCGGAAGGUUAAGAGGAGAGCUUAGCGCAAGCGAAGGUUCGAAUUGAAGCCCCGGUAAACGGCGGCCGUAACAAUAACGGUCCUAAGGUAGCGAAAUUCCUUGUCAGGUAAGUUCUGACCCGCACGAAUGGCGUAAUGAUCUGGGCACUGUCUCAACAGCCCGCCCGGCGAAAUUGUAGUACUGGUGAAGAUGCCAGUUACCCGCAACUAGACGGAAAGACCCCAUGGAGCUUUACUGUAGCCUAAUACUGAAGAUCGGUAAUGCAUGUACAGGAUAGGUGGGAGCCAGCGAAACCCGGGCGUCAGCUCGGAUGGAGGCAACCUUGGAAUACCACCCUUGUAUUGCUGGUUUUCUAACCUGCGGCCAUGAAUCUGGUCGGGGGACACUGUUAGGUGGGCAGUUUGACUGGGGCGGUCGCCUCCAAAAGCGUAACGGAGGCGCUCAAAGGUUGGCUCAGCACGGACGGAAAUCGUGCAUAGAGUGCAAACGCAUAAGCCAACUUGACUGCGAGACCGACGGGUCGAGCAGGUACGAAAGUAGGAGUUAGUGAUCCGGUGGUAUGUGAGUGGAAAUGCCAUCGCUCAACGGAUAAAAGCUACCCUGGGGAUAACAGGCUGAUCUCCCCCAAGCGUCCACAGCGACGGGGAGGUUUGGCACCUCGAUGUCGGCUCGUCACAUCCUGGGGCUGUAUUCGGUCCCAAGGGUUCGGCUGUUCGCCGAUUAAAGUGGCACGCGAGCUGGGUUCAGAACGUCGUGAGACAGUUCGGUCCCUAUCUGUUGCGGGCGCAGGAGAUUUGAAGGGAGCUGUCCUUAGUACGAGAGGACCGGGAUGGACAGACCUCUGGUGCACCAGUUGUCGUGCCAACGGCACAGCUGGGUAGCUACGUCUGGACGAGAUAAACGCUGAAAGCAUCUAAGUGUGAAACUCCCCCUAAGAUAAGAUCUCCCAUCCAUUAGGAGUAAGGGACGACAGAGACUAUGUCGUUGAUAGGUCGGAAGUGUAAGUGCAGUAAUGCAUUGAGCUGACCGAUACUAAUAACCCGAGGGCUUGACC